GGCGAUAUGGCCGAGCGGUCCAAGGCGCCAGAAUCAGGAGAAAGGUUGUUUCAUCUGGUCCGAAAGGGCGUGGGUUCGAAUCCCGCUGUCGUCA
rnacentral:tRNA from 1 species